AGUGUCCUGUUAUUAAAGGGAGUUUGACCCUCUCUUGCUGGCUUGCUCUCAUGCUUUCUUGUCCUUCUGCCUUCUGCCAUGGGAUGACACAGCAAGAAGCCCCUUGCCAGAUGUGGGCCUCUCGACCUUGGACUUCUUAGCUUCCAGAACUGUUUUUUUUUUGUUAGUAUGUUUUCAUCUUAGAAUUUUCUUUGCUGUAACUCUUUUCUUAUCCAGAAAUGUUCUUAGUCUCUGAUUAUCCCAUGAACGACUGGUGUUCUUUCCUGCCAUUCAGAUCUUACCUUAAAUUGUCACUUCUACCAAGAAGCUUUCCUGACAACACAAUCUAAAGAAUCUGUUUCGGACUUCCUCCAUAACAUCUCUAAUUUUCAGCAUGGGAUCCAUCUGACAUUUCUUCCCUCUUUCCAUUCUUUCUUCACUUCCUCCUUUCUGCCCACCUUUCCUGAUAGAUUUCAAGUUCCAUGAGAGUUAGAACCUUGACUGUCUGAUGUCCUAUGGUAGCUUCAGCACAGAGGAGAGUAAGUGAUUCUUAAUAUUCCUCAGUAAAUAUUUUAAUUAAAUUAUAAAUAGAUGGAUAUUUGCUGCAUUAACAAUUACUUCUUAAAUGUGCUUGUUUUGUUGCCGAGCUUUUAACUUUUUUUUUGUUUGUUUGUUUUUUGCACUGUAUCAAAGAGGAGCCAUUGAAGAAUACUGUUGUCCUAUCCCAGAAGGAGCAAGCGGACAACACUGAUAUCCUGACCACUAACCAUCCAGCACCACUUAAAGGGGUCCCAAAACCCCCGGCUGUCUACCAAUACCCAUCUGUGACCUCUUAGGAACCGAGCUUCACAGCAGGAGGUGAAUGGUGGACAAGCGAGCAUUAUCGCCUCAGCUCCACCUCCUGUCAGGUUUAAAAAGAAUAACAGAAAGAAAGAAGUGGCUGAAACCUAAAUGCCAUAUGGAGAAGACAGCUAAUUGGCACACUCUCCUCUUUGGUCUUUCCUGGUACGCAGCAUACAAGCCCACAGAUUGAGGACUCUGCACUUGCUGUUCUCUCUGCCUGGAGCUCUAUGGCUCCAGAUAGACUCCUGCCAACUCCUUCGCCUUGUCCAAGUUACCUUCAUUAAAUGUCAGCUUAAAUGUGUGCCUACUUUUUGCCCUACCUAGAAUUGCAAGCACCUCUCACCACUGUGCUCCCAUUCUCCUUAACUUAAGCCACUUUUAUUCUCAUAAUAAAGCCACAUAUUUUUUCUUAUUAUAUCAUAAUCGUACUGUAUAAUUUAUAUUUUAUUACUUUUGUUUGUAUACUUAUUGUAUGUUUCUGUUCACAAGGAUGUAAACCCCAUGAACACAGAGAUCUUUGAUUGUUUUAUUCACUGAUUUAUGCCAAAUGUUUGGAACAAUGCCUGGCACAUAGUAGAUGUUUGAUAAUUUUUUUUUUUUCUGAAUGAAUAAAUACAUUUUAGCCAAAUAUGCUGACUCUGCUUGUUUGGUUAUAUUUAUGUGUGUGUGAAUGUAUGUGCAGAAAAAGAAGAAAUUAGUUAAUACCAAAUCUAUAAAAUGGGAAAAAUAAUGCUUACCUUAUAGUGUUGUUAUGAAACUCAACUAAUAUAAGAUAUGUGAAGGGUCUAGCAUAAAAUGUGGAGCAUAAUAAGCAUUCAAUAAAUGGCAUUCUGUUUUAUUAACCAUCUGGUUGCCUAUUGUUGAAGGUCGGCUCUUUAAUGUGCAAAUUAAGGUGUUUUAUUUCCUUCAUAUAUCAAUUAUAGUCUGUUUAUUUACUUCUAGAUAAAAUCCUUUGAUGGACAUUUAAGCUGUGCCAACUAUUUACUAAUAAAAAUAUUUACAUUCUGU
rnacentral:lncRNA from 10 species